UGGGGAAUAUUGGACAAUGGGCGAAAGCCUGAUCCAGCAAUGCCGCGUGAGUGAUGAAGGCCUUAGGGUUGUAAAGCUCUUUUACCAGGGAUGAUAAUGACAGUACCUGGAGAAUAAGCUCCGGCUAACUCCGUGCCAGCAGCCGCGGUAAUACGGAGGGAGCUAGCGUUGUUCGGAAUUACUGGGCGUAAAGCGUACGUAGGCGGUUAUUCAAGUCAGAGGUGAAAGCCCGGGGCUCAACCCCGGAACGGCCUUUGAAACUAGAUAGCUAGAAUCUUGGAGAGGUCAGUGGAAUUCCGAGUGUAGAGGUGAAAUUCGUAGAUAUUCGGAAGAACACCAGUGGCGAAGGCAACUGACUGGACAAGUAUUGACGCUGAGGUACGAAAGCGUGGGGAGCAAACAGGAUUAGAUACCCCCGUAGUCCCUGAGCGGGCUGGCAAGGCGCAU
rnacentral:rRNA from 1 species